UACGGAGGGUGCGAGCGUUAAUCGGAAUUACUGGGCGUAAAGGGUGCGUAGGUGGUUUAGUAAGUUGGCUGUGAAAUUCCUGGGCUUAACCUAGGGCGGUCAGCCAAAACUACUAGACUAGAGUAUGGGAGAGGGUAGUGGAAUUUCCGGUGUAGCGGUGAAAUGCGUAGAGAUCGGAAGGAACACCAGUGGCGAAGGCG
rnacentral:rRNA from 1 species